UUAUUAGGUCUUUCCACCUUUCCGUGGAAAGACCUAUUGUAUUUGUUCUGAUUAUUAGGUCUUUCCACUUUUCCGUGGAAAGACCUAUAGGUUUUGUUCUGAUUAUUAUUAUUAUUAUUAGGUCUUUCCACCUUUCCGUGGAAAGACCUAUUGAAUUUGUUCUGAUUAUUAUUUUUUUUUUUUUUUUUUUCUUCCGCCUAAAUUUUUUCUUGCGUAGUAUUGAUGUUUCAAAAGAUGUCGCUUAGAUAUUUGGAAUAUGAUGUCGUAUAGUUUAUACGCUUUAAAAAUUUACAACUGCGUAACAAAAUACUUUACGUUGUAAGAGUUAUCUCCCCAAACACUGUUUUUCUUGUGGCCACUACUCCUUCGCAACCGUAAAAGAUUACGACAAAUUUAUUAUACCAAAUUGCUCGUUACAUCUUCAGGAUUAAGAUAUUCAUUU
rnacentral:lncRNA from 1 species